rnacentral:rRNA from 1 species
UCGUGGAAUGAUUUGUCUGGUUGAUUCCGUUAACGAGCGAGAUCUUAACCUGCUAAAUAGGCGUGCAAAUUUCGAUUUGCUCAUGCCUUCUUAGAGGGACUUUGCGUGUCUAACGCAAGGAAGUUUGAGGCAAUAACA